GAGUAAGCGGCGGACGGGUGCGUAACACGUGGAUAAUCUGCCUUCUGGCGGGGAAUAACAGUCCGAAAGGAUUGCUAAUGCCGCAUGUGUCUGUGUGGUUUCCGAACUGCACAGAGAAAGAGGGCGCCCGCAAGGGGCUCUCACCAGAAGAUGAGUCCGCGUCCCAUCAGCUAGUUGGCGGGGUAAUGGCCCACCAAGGGCAGAGACGGGUAGCUGGUCUGAGAGGAUGACCAGCACACUGGGACUGAGACACGGCCAGACUCCUACGGGAGGCAGCAGUGGGGAAUAUUGGGCAAUGGGCGCAAGCCUGACCCAGCCAUGCCGCGUGAGUGAUGAAGGUCUUCGGAUCGUAAAGCUCUGUGGGAAGGGACGAAAAACCGGGGGUUAAUAACCCCCGGCUUGACGGUACCUUCUUAGCAAGCACCGGCUAACUCCGUGCCAGCAGCCGCGGUAAUACGGAUGGUGCAAGCGUUAAUCGGAAUUACUGGGCGUAAAGCGCACGCAGGCGGUCUGUCAAGUCGGAUGUGAAAUCCCCGGGCUCAACCUGGGAACUGCAUUCGAAACUGGCAGGCUAGAGUCUUGUACAGGGGGGUAGAAUUC
rnacentral:rRNA from 1 species